GCCUUGACAUCUAAUGAGCAAAGAUUGCAACUGCAACAGUACAGGGUUGAUUCGCAUGGCCCCUGCGCAAGGAUGACGCGUAAAUUUUCGGAUUCAUAUUCAUAUAA
rnacentral:snRNA from 1 species